rnacentral:rRNA from 1 species
UACAGAGGGUGCUAGCGUUGUUCGGAAUCAUUGGGCGUAAAGGGCGUGUAGGCGGUUUGUUAAGUCAUGUGUGAAAUCCCUCGGCUACACCGGGGAACGACGCAUGAAACUGGCAGCUAGAAGUACCAAAGAGGGGGGUGGAAUUCCCGGUGUAGGCGGUGAAAUGGCGUAGAUAUCGGGAGGAACACCUGUAGGCGAAGGCGGCCCCCUGGUUGGAUACUGAGCGGCUGAUACGCGGAAAAGCGUGGGGAGCAAACAGGG